GUGAGGUUUAUGACCCCCCCCAUAAAUACCUUUCCCCCUUUUCUCUAUCUACUCUACAGAAUGGACUCUUGGAAAGCCUUUUAUUAACAUAGAGAGUAUGGUAACAUCAAAAGGUUGGGAAUGGAACAAUAUUUCUGUAAUCCAACCAGUUGAAAGUAUCUGUAGGUACUUAAAGAAUAUGAUGUCAGAUCAGUUGUCGUCUGAGACAUUAUUACUGAUGAUAGGAUGACAAAUUGUAUCUUGGAAAGUCUACACAUUCUAGUUAUCGGAUUCACAUGGAAUUGUUGUGCAAUUUAAAUGUUUAAAUAUGAAACUAUUUCUGAAAAGAUUAAAUGUAAUUUUAGUUUUUAAAACGAGAGAAUUGUUUUCAUAAGUAAAAUAUGCUCACGCAGUGGCCACGCCCAAGUGAAUAGGCAUUGGUUGGAAAUGAUGAACCAACCCCUUUUCUACAUUUCUAUAAGAGCCCCCGUGACCCAAUCCAGGGUGGACUAAGCCAACCCCAGCGUGAGCUGUGGUUGCUAAUGGUUGAACGACUACAACCUAACGAAAUUAACAUUGUGUUCCUGAUGACGUGAGGACUGAUGUCCAUACAUUUAGAAGGGCGAAUUUCAACGUGGAGGUGAUGAUCGCCACGCUGGAAGGAUGAAUUUUGACUACACCAGCCAGAAUAUAGCAUGAGUUGAGUAUGGCAACUUGGUAUGAACAUUGAACUUUUAUUCACUAAAGAAGUGAUACAUCCUAGACGUCGAGUUAUCAGCAGCAGCUGUAAAUGUGCAUGGCCUAGGAAAGGACGGAUAAUCUCUUCAGAACGACAGGGUACUACAACGUAUCCGAACGUACCACACAACGACAGACUAAAACGUAUCCGCCCAGAAAUAUUCUUCAAAGGACAAGGGAGAUCUCUGCUGGGCAACCCAACCCUCCAUCUUCGACCAAUCUAUCGAAGCGCAGCUCAGACCGUCAAAUCGGUUUCGGAACUAUGCCUAGAAGGCCAGCAUCCCGGAGUCGCCUCUUCACUGUUGACGUCGAGACUGGUGUUUUGCGGGUACUAUUUAAUUAAGCUGCCAGUUGAGAACUUGGAGAGGCAUCUGUUUCUCAAACUAGACACUCUAAUGUACUUGUCCUCUUGCUCAGUUGUGCACCGGGCCUCCCCCUCCUCUUUCUAUUCUGGUUAGAGCCAGUUUGCACUGUUCUGUAAAGGGAGUAGUACACAGCGUUGU
rnacentral:lncRNA from 1 species